rnacentral:tRNA from 1 species
GGCGAGAUGGCCGAGCGGUCUAAGGCGCCAGACUAAGGACCAGCACUAUCUGAAGUGCACGAGUUAUCUGGUCCUCCGGGGCGUGGGUUCGAAUCCCACUCUCGUCA